UGCUCAGUGUCUGCUUUGCUCUUCAUAUUUCAUUUGUAAUAAAGAAACAUCAUCAGUGUGUCUCUUGUUGCAGGGAUCAAAUGUGGCAACGUCUGCAGGGAGUGAUGGGCAUCGUUUUUCGGCCCGUCUCCCACCUGAUCAGAUGAAGAGGAGGAAGAGGAGACUAAAUCAGUGAUCUAAAAGUCUGAACUUUGUGUCUGGACUUUGGGCUGACUGGUUGUUUGAAAACCAUGUUGAGUAUAAUGAUCUGUAGCUCUUUUUGUGACAGCUUGAUUUGGAUACUUAUGGAUAAAACAAAUGUAAAUGAUAAGAUUUGUUAGUG